rnacentral:misc_RNA from 1 species
AACCUUAUGGACCUGCGGGCGUAUACCUGCGGAGGGAUCAUUAUAGAGUUUUCUAAACUCCCAAACCCAUGUGAACUUACCAUUGUUGCCUCGGCAGAACCUACCCGGUACCUACCCUGGAACUAGCUACCCUGUAGCUACCCAGGAACGGGCUACCCUGUAACGUCCUGCCGGUGGACUUCUAAACUCUUGUUAUUUAUAGUAAUCUGAGCGUCUUAUUUUAAUAAGUCAAAACUUUUA